AUGAACGCUAGCGGGAGGCCUAACACAUGCAAGCCGAGCGGUAUAAUUCUUUCGGGAAUUAGAGAGCGGCGCACGGGUGCGGAACACGUGUGCAACCUGCCUUUAUCUGGGGGAUAGCCUUCCGAAAGGGAGAUUAAUACCCCAUAAUAUAUUGACUGGCAUCAGUCAAUAUUGAAAACUCCGGUGGAUAGAGAUGGGCACGCGCAAGAUUAGAUAGUUGGUGAGGUAACGGCUCACCAAGUCGGUGAUCUUUAGGGGGCCUGAGAGGGUGAUCCCCCACACUGGUACGGAGGCACGGACCAGACUCCUACGGGAGGCAGCAUUGAGGAAUAUUGGACAAUGGGUGAGAGCCUGAUCCAGCCAUCCCGCGUGAAGGACGACGGCCCUAUGGGUUGUAAACUUCUUUUGUACAGGGAUAAACCUAGAUACGUGUAUCUAGCUGAAGGUACUGUACGAAUAAGCACCGGCUAACUCCGUGCCAGCCGCCGCGGUAAUAC
rnacentral:rRNA from 1 species